AUUGAACGCUAGCGGGAGGCUUUACACAUGCAAGUAGAACGAGUGGCGGACGGGUGAGUAAUAUAUCGGAACGUGACCAGUAGCGGGGGAUAACUACUCGAAAGAGUGGAUAAUACCGCAUACUAUUGGAGCGGCAGAUAUCGGAUUAGCUAGUUGGUGGGGUAAAGGCUCACCAAGGAAAGGAACCGUAGCUGGUCUGCGAGGACGACCAGCCACACUGGGACUGAGACAAGGCCCAUACUCCUACGGGAGGCAGCAGUGUGGAAUUUUGGACAAUGGGGGAAACCCUGAUCCAGCCAUCCCGCGUGUAUGAGAAGGCCUUCUGGUUGUAAAGUACUUUUGGCAGAGAAGCGGUAUCUGCAGAAUAAGCACCGGCUAACUACGUGCCAGCAGCCGCGGUAAUAC
rnacentral:rRNA from 1 species